rnacentral:tRNA from 1 species
UGGAGGUAUGGGGAAUCGAUCCCCAGACUUCUCGCAUGCAAAGCGAGCGCUCUACCCCUGAGCUAUACCCCC